rnacentral:rRNA from 1 species
AUCAGCUUGUUGGUGGGGUAGUGGCUCACCAAGGCUUUGACGGGUAGCCGGCCUGAGAGGGUGACCGGCCACAUUGGGACUGAGAUACGGCCCAGACUCCUACGGGAGGCAGCAGUGGGGAAUAUUGCACAAUGGGCGGAAGCCUGAUGCAGCAACGCCGCGUGCGGGAUGACGGCCUUCGGGUUGUAAACCGCUUUCGCCUGUGACGAAGCGUGAGUGACGGUAAUGGGUAAAGAAGCACCGGCUAACUACGUGCCAGCAGCCGCGGUGAUACGUAGGGUGCGAGCGUUGUCCGGAUUUAUUGGGCGUAAAGGGCUCGUAGGUGGUUGAUCGCGUCGGAAGUGAAAUCUUGGGGCUUAACCCUGAGCGUGCUUUCGAUACGGGUUGACUUGAGGAAGGUAGGGGAGAAUGGAAUUCCUGGUGGAGCGGUGGAAUGCGCAGAUAUCAGGAGGAACACCAGUGGCGAAGGCGGUUCUCUGGACCUUUCCUGACGCUGAGGAGCGAAAGCGUGGGGAGCGAACAGGCUUAGAUACCCUGGUAGUCCACGCUGUAAACGGUGGGUACUAGGUGUGGGGUCCAUUCCACGGAUUCCGUGCCGUAGCUAACGCUUUAAGUACCCCGCCUGGGGAGUACGGCCGCAAGGCUAAAACUCAAAGGAAUUGACGG